rnacentral:rRNA from 1 species
UACAGAGGUCCCAAGCGUUGUUCGGAUUCACUGGGCGUAAAGGGUGCGUAGGCGGGUCUUUAAGUCAGAGGUGAAAUCCUGGAGCUCAACUCCAGAACUGCCUUUGAUACUGAGGAUCUUGAGUUCGGGAGAGGUGAGUGGAACUGCGAGUGUAGAGGUGAAAUUCGUAGAUAUUCGCAAGAACACCAGUGGCGAAGGCGGCUCACUGGCCCGAUACUGACGCUGAGGCACGAAAGCGUGGGGAGCAAACAGG